AAAGUUUGAGCUUACCACUUUACCGUCAUCGCACUGCAAUUAUAGGGUAAAAAAAAAAUGAAUACUCUGGUCCAAAGAACAAGGUAUUAUUAUGUUUAAUGUUGUUAUUUGGGCAAUUUGUUUUUUUUCUUCAGUCCUUAAUCAAACUUUAAUCAAGCCAAGAGCCUAAAGCAGAGUCUUUCGAAAAGAAAAAUGGCCAAAUGCACAUGUACAAUCACCAGCGCCAGAUACAGAGGGAAAAAAAGUGCUAGGAAAUAAUUGGAAAAUGUCAACUGACAAAAGCAGAUUGCCUUCAGCAUGGGAUAUGAUGCAGCAAUAGCUGAUCACAUAAAGCCAGUCACUUAGCAGAACAAGCCCUUUUCAUUGGAAUAAAACGUCAUCUAUCAGUAUACUUGGAGGACUGCAAUAUACUUGUAAAUGGAAGGUGAGCUGAACAUCUUCUGCACGCCCGCAGAGUCGCUUUUCUGUCUCCCGUACCUGCUGUCUCUCCUGAAAGACUGACUGCCUCACCAACUCUCCUCCUCUAGUUUCCGCUAAUGUUCAACCAAAGGCAAGGACCCACAGGAGAUCCGGGAGGAGGAGGAGAGUAAGCUCAGCAUUGCUCCCCAUGGAGAAAUGAAGGUGGGAACACCACAGAAAACCAAGCAAAGCCUUUCUAGCAUUCCUCUUUCCGGCCUCUGAUGUGAGUGCUUCCAGCUGGGAAUAAGAGUGAGCAGCAGCAAGAAAACUAAAGUAGGUACUGUCUGGAUGACAUCAACCAAUUAGAGAAAUGGAAAAUUUCCUUCAAAUAUGGAUCAGCUUACUGACCAACCCCCAAGAAAGCACACUUGACUUCAGCUGACUGUCCUACAGAUGUCAGCACACCAAGUUAAGGAUUUUUGUUUUUGGUGUUUUUUUUGCACCCUGACACCUGUUAAAAUAGUUCAAUCAAUUGACUUAAUUUUCAUUCACCUCUAUCAACUGUAUGCUGCGCUAUUAGUUCCUAACUCCAACGGAUUGAAAGGUAUCCACAGCAGCUGGUGACCCUGUGUGAUGCUGAUGAGUCCUUCUUCUAUGUUUUGUUUUGUUUUGUUUGGCCUUGCUUUGAGGGCAAAGCAGUCUCAUGGUCCUUGAUAUAUUAAACGUUUUAAUAAGUGGAUUUUCAGCAAGUCCCAGCAACCACAGACUUUAAAAAGCCCAUAGGUCCAAAGUUGGCUUAUUCUGUGUUUGCCUUGCUUACUAAUGGUAACUAAUUGCCUCAAUUAGUACUAAUUAAAAAGGUAUGAUCUCUGACAUGAGCCUGCUCUAGUAGAAACAAUGGGGGUUUCUGAUGGGACACAACAAAUACGCUGAUUUAAACUAAUUAAGGGCAAGACAGCUUGAGUGGAAAGUCAGAAUUAGAUGAUACCUUUAAAGAAAGCCCAUUCACAAACACUUACUGAAUACUUUUGAUGAGAUAGGGCAUGGUUCCUACUUUCUGGAAAUGGAGAAUUUAACUGAGGAAUUAAGAUAUGAAUUCCCAUCCCCCAAGAUUUCUGGUUCUGUACAAUUAAGUAACAAUUAGGUCUAUAAUUUGGGAGGAAAAAUGAGAGGUAUGGCAAGAAAAACUAAGUUGACAUCCAGAUAUCAGAUAUAAGCUAACAAUCAUUAAGUAUUUAAUCAGUGCCAAACAUUCUUCUAAGUUCUUCAUAUUCUAUGUAGUAGGUACGAUCAUUUACAUCAUCUUAUAGGUGAGAAAACUAUAGAAAGGUUUGGAAACCGGCUAAAGGUCACAUAGCUAGUAAGUGGGACAUGCUGGUGUCAGAGCCUGUACGCUUUACCUAUUUUGUAGCUAAUACCAUAUAUUAAGACUUGAAGAGAGAAACUUCCCUGUUGAACACAAUAAAAAUUGCAUUGUGUCUAAACAGAACAAAACAUUAAGGAAAAUUGUUAAUAAAUACAUGGCAGACGUUUCCACAUAAUGGAAAUCCUUUCCGCUAUUCCAAUAGCUUCCUACCCAACCCCAACUAAUAGUCCUAAAAUACAGAAAAGAGAUGAGAAAAAGGUGAGGAGCUGAGUUAAGGAUAGAGAGAACGGUCUGCAGUCAAGUGGCAGUUUAGAGGAGGGAACGCUGAAAGAAUUCGCCCUGUGUUCGUUCUAUAAUCUCUGAACUGGCCUGAUUGUGUGAUCCUAUGAUUCUCUAAUCCUACUGGACAUAGGGUGAAUCAGAAAUAAUACACAGAUGCAAUAAGACCAGUAAGUACAAAACUGUAUUCUUUUGCAUUCAUUUAUUCAUUAAGCAAAUUUUACUGGGAGGCUAAUUUGUGCUUGAUAUUCCCUUAGAUAUUGUUGAUACAUUGGUGAGCAAAACAGACACAGGACCUUGGGUAUAGAGCCAACAGCUAUGUAGGGAACUUCUUAAACAAAUAAAUACAUGAUAAAUGCACUAGAAGCCGUAAAGAGAUACGGUGUACUCAAAUGCAUAUAAUAGGGUUGUUUCAGGGAGCUAGGGAAGAUCCAUAUUUGAGGAACUGAAAGAAGACCCUUUGCCUUGUGCCAGGGUGAAGCAGAGGGUGGCAUGAUGUGACCCUGGAGUGGUCAGGAAAGACCAGAUCAUGGAGAGUCCUAUAGGCCACGUGGAGUGGUUCACUUUUCAUCCUAAAAGCACAAGAAAAAUAUAGAAAUGUUUUCAGGAAAGGUGAUAACAAGAUGUAUCUCUUCAAAAGAUGACCCAACAAGACUGUAGAAAAAAAUAAGGAGGUAGCCAGGCACAGUGGCUCACAUCUGUUAAUUCCAGCACUUUGGGAAGCUGAGGUGGGCACAUUGCUUGAGCCCAGGAGUUCAAGACCAGCCUGGGCAACAUAGCAAAACCCCGUCUCUACAAAAAAUACAAAAAUUAGCUGGGCGUGGUGGUGCAUGCUUGUAGUCCCGGCUACUUGGGAGGCUGAGGUGGGAGGAUCCCUUGAGCCCCGGGAGGUAGAGGCUGCAGUGAGCCGUGAUUGCUCCACUGCACUCCAGCCUGGAUAACAAAGUGAGACCCUGUCUCAAAAAUAAAUAAAUAAGCUUUUAAGUACUUCAAGUUGAUAGUUUAGAUUCAUAUGAUGACAGUGGCAAUGAACAUGUGUGGUCAUAUUCCAGAGAUAGGAGAGGAAGUUAGCAGUACUUGACGAUUGGUUAUUUACGGAGGUGUAGGGAGAGGAAUGGAUGGAUAUACUAAGGACAUACCAGGAAAAUUGGUGGAUGAUGACAUUAUUAGUAAGAUAAAAAAUCCUACAGGAAGAGCAGGUUAGAGAGAAAAGAUUGCAUUCUGUUUGGGACUUGUUUUUGAGUUGCCAAUAAAAGAGAUAAAUAAAGAUAAAGGAUAAUUUGAUAAAUAUAAGUGCCUGGAGCUCAAAGAAAAAGUCUAGGCUGGAGAUACAAAUUUUAGAAGUAAUAUAUAGUGGCAAUUAAAGCUGUAUGAAUAAAUGAGAUCACCUAAGAGUAAUGUAUGAUAUAAGACGACAAAAAAAAAACCUAUGCCUUUUAAAAUGUGGCUUAUCCUAAAUACUAAAACAUUCUAAUAUUUAAGGGAAACUUAAAGAAAGAAUAGCCAGAAAAGUUACAAGAUAUUCUGUCAUGACAGCCCAGAAAAUAGAAUGUUUCUAAGGGAAGGAAUAGAAAUCUACUUGUGGUAAUGGUGGCAUAAGAAGAUUGGGUUUUUCUAUUCCACGUGAAUCAAGUACUAAAGUGGGCAACAUUAUUAAAAAUAACAAUGUAUGGGCACUGGAAAACAAUCAAAGGCAAGGAACAACCUCAGAAUUGUUUACUCAUAACAAAGUGCUACUCAGCUGUGAGUGGGUAGCCUUCUUGCCAGAGGCCAUUUCAAUCCAGUGCAGCUCACACUAAAAAACACCUUUAUCUUUAUUUAUCAGGGUGGUAGACCCAGUUCAGGGCAGGCAAGAGAACAACUAAAAAUUUAACUGUGAGAUGUGGGAAGUGAAAGAGUCACAGAAGUACUGAUGUAACAAAUUCCCCAAACAUCCCUAGAUAACUUCUAUACUAAGCAUGAAUGCAGGACACCUUCAGGGAGCCUGGCAAAUAUGAAAAGCCUGAGGAGAUGUGUAAAUAUGUUGUGCCUUUGAAUGCAUGCCUCAGCCCACAUGCAGCUUGAAUAUAUAAAGAAUGUAAAAGAAUUGAAAAACCCUACCAAACAAUUUGACAUCUAUAGAACACUCUACCCAACAACAGAAGACACAUUCCUUUCAAGAGCAAAUACGAUAUUCACCAGGAUAAAUCAUGCUGGCAAUAAAUAAGUUUCAAUAAUUUUAAGGCAUUGGAAUCAUACAGAGUAAGUUUUCUGACCAAAAUAGCAUUAGAAAUCAGUCACAGAAAGAAAUGCUGGAAAACCCCAAAUGAGUAUAAAUUAACACACCUCUAAAUCACCUGUGAGUCAAAGAAAAAAGAGAAAUUUAGAAAAUGUUUUAAACUGAACCAAUAUAAAAACACAACAUAUCAAGAUUUGUAGGCUAUAUCUAAAGCAGUGCUUAAAGGAAACUUUAUAGUACUAAACACUUAUACUAAAAAAGAGGAAAGGCCUCAAGUCAAUUAUCGAAGCUUCUACCUUAAGCAGA
rnacentral:lncRNA from 10 species